rnacentral:rRNA from 1 species
GAUGAACGCUGGCGGCGUGCCUAAUACAUGCAAGUCGAACGAAACUUCUUUAUCACUGAGUGCUGGCACUCACCGAUAAAGAGUUGAGUGGCGAACGGGUGAGUAACACGUGGGCAACCUGCCCAAAAGAGGGGGAUAACACUUGGAAACAGGUGCUAAUACCGCAUAACCAUAGUUACCGCAUGGUAACUAUGUAAAAGGUGGCUAUACUACCGCUUUUGGAUGGGCCCGCGGCGCAUUAGCUAGUUGGUAGGGUAAAGGCUUACCAAGGCAAUGAUGCGUAGCCGAAUUGAGAGGUUGAUCGGCCACAUUGGGACUGAGACACGGCCCAAACUCCUACGGGAGGCAGCAGUAGGGAAUCUUCCACAAUGGGCGAAAGCCUGAUGGAGCAACGCCGCGUGGGUGAAGAAGGUCUUCGGAUCGUAAAACCCUGUUGUUAGAGAAGAAAGUGCGUGAGAGUAACUGUUCACGUUUCGACGGUAUCUAACCAGAAAGCCACGGCUAACUACGUG